rnacentral:sRNA from 1 species
AACAGGAAAAAAACAACUUGAGCAUUCACUUUGGAUUGUAUACGAAAAACGUAUUGAAGCACUGGCACUUUGGACUGUU